rnacentral:rRNA from 1 species
CCUGAGAAACCCAAAAGAUCGAAUGGGGAGAUUCAUCGUCAGCUCAUUUUAUAUAUAUGCAUGUUAUGAUAUGGGUUACUGCUUCUGUAGUAUUGCCUGUACAUUCUUGUAUAUUUAGAUGUAAGAUGUGGUCGGCGUGCACUUCUCCCCUAGUAGGACGUCGCGACCCGUUGAGUGUUGGUCUACGGCCCAAGUGGAUGCUUUUAGUGGAUGCAUUUAUUUGUAUUCAUUGAAAACCCUUGGUGUUACCUGACUGGCGCUCGUCGGUAUUCGUAUGGUAUUGAGCCGCAAUAUAUGCGUCCAUAUCUGUCACAAGCGAGGUUUAAUUACUAAUAGUACGGACCUAGUGCCGUCGUUGGUAUUAACCAGCUGUUGGUUGUACAGAAUUCUAGGACUGGCUUAUAAAUAAAAAUACCGGUCAGCGAUGCUAUUGCUUUGGG